CCUACGGGAGGCAGCAGUGGGGAAUAUUGCACAAUGGGCGCAACCCUGAUGCAGCGAUGCCGCGUGGAGGAAGAAGGCCUUCGGAUUGUAAACUUCUUUUAUCAGGGACGAUAAUGACGGUACCUGUAGAAAAAGCUACGGCUAACAACGUGCCAGCAGCCGCGGCAAUACGUAGGAAGCGAGCGUUGUCCGGAAUUACUGGGUGUAAAGGGAGCGUAGGCGGGACGGCAAGUCAGAUGUGAAAGCUGUGGGCUCAACCUUAAGACUGCAUUUGAAACUGGUGUCCUUGAGUGAAGUAGAGGUAGGCGGAAUUCGUAGUGUAGCGGUGAAAUGCGUAGAUAUUAGGAGGAACAUCGAUGGCGAAGGCAGCUUACUGGACUUUUACUGACGCUGAGGCUCGAAAGCGUGGGGAGCAAACAGGAUUAGAUACCCCAGUAGUC
rnacentral:rRNA from 1 species